rnacentral:rRNA from 1 species
GACGAACGCUGGCGGCGUGCUUAACACAUGCAAGUCGAACGGAAAGGCCCUGCUUUUGUGGGGUGCUCGAGUGGCGAACGGGUGAGUAACACGUGAGUAACCUGCCCUUGACUUUGGGAUAACUUCAGGAAACUGGGGCUAAUACCGGAUAGGAGCUCCUGCUGCAUGGUGGGGGUUGGAAAGUUUCGGCGGUUGGGGAUGGACUCGCGGCUUAUCAGCUUGUUGGUGGGGUAGUGGCUUACCAAGGCUUUGACGCGUAGCCGGCCUGAGAGGGUGACCGGCCACGUUGGGACUGAGAUACGGCCCAGACUCCUACGGGAGGCAGCAGUGGGGAAUGUUGCACAAUGGGCGGAAGCCUGAUGCAGCAACGCCGCGUGCGGGAUGACGGCCUUCGGGUUGUAAACCGCUUUCGCCUGUGACGAAGCGUGAGUGACGGUAAUGGGUAAAGAAGCACCGGCUAACUACGUG